rnacentral:rRNA from 1 species
GACGAACGCUGGCGGCGUGCUUAACACAUGCAAGUCGAACGGAAAGGCCCUGCUUUUGUGGGGUGCUCGGGUGGCGAACGGGUGAGUAACACGUGAGUAACCCGCCCUUGACAUUGGGAUAACUUCUGGAAACUGGGGCUAAUACCCGAUAGGAGCUCCUGCUGCAUGGUGGGGGUUGGAAAGUUUCGGCGUUUGGGGAUUGACUCGCGGCUUAUCAGCUUGUUGGUCGGGUAGUGGCUUACCAUGGCUUUGACGGGUAGCCGGCCUGAGAGGGUGACCGGCCACAUUGGGUCUGAGAUACGGCCCAGACUCCUACGGGAGGAAGCAGUGAGGAAUAAUGCACAAAGGGCGGAUGCCUGAUGCAGCAACGCCGCGUGCGGGAUGUCGGCCUUCGGGUUGUAAACCGUUUUCGGCUAUGACGAAGCGUGAGUGAGGGUAAUGGGUAAAGAAGCACCGGCUCAAUACG